rnacentral:rRNA from 1 species
UACGUAGGUGGCAAGCGUUGUCCGGAUUUACUGGGCGUAAAGAGCGCGCAGGCGGUCGGAUAAGUCGAAUGUGAAAGCCCCCGGCUCAACUGGGGAACUGCACAGGAGACUGCUUGGCUUGAGUUCGGGAGAGGGAAGCGGAAUUCCGGGUGUAGCGGUGAAAUGCGUAGAUAUCCGGAGGAACACCGGUGGCGAAGGCGGCUUCCUGGACCGACACUGACGCUGAGGCGCGAAAGCCAGGGGAGCAAACGGG